rnacentral:rRNA from 1 species
GACGAACGCUGGCGGCGUGCUUAACACAUGCAAGUCGAGCGGUAAGGCCCUUUCGGGGGUACACGAGCGGCGAACGGGUGGGUAACACGUGGGUGACCUGCCCUCAGCUCUGGGAUAAGCCUGGGAAACCCGGGUCUAAUACUGGAUAUGACUCCAUGACGCAUGUUGUGGGGUGAAAGCCUUGUGCGGCUGAGGAUGGGCCCCGCGGCCUAUCAGCUUGUUGGUGGGGUGAUGGCCUACCAAGGCGACGACGGGUAGCCGGCCUGAGAGGGCGACCGGCCACACUGGGGACUGAGACACGGCCCAGACUCCUACGGGAGGCAGCAGUGGGGAAUCUUGCGCAAUGGGCGAAAGCCUGACGCAGCGACGCCGCGUGA